GACGAACGCUGGCGGCGUGCUUAACACAUGCAAGUCGAACGAAGUGGCGAACGGGUGUGUAAUACGUGGGUCACCUGCUCUCCGUCUUGGGAUAAGCAUUGGAAACGGGGUCUAAUACAGAUUUAAGGGGGAUGGGCUCGCGGCUUUUUAGCUUGUUGGUGGGGUGAUGGCCUACCAAGGCGGUGACGGGUAGCUGGCCUGAGCGGGUAACCGGCGACGUGGAGACGGCGUUACGGCCCAGAGUCGUACGGGAGGCGGCAGUGGGGGAUAUUGCGCAAUGGGCGAAUGCCUGAUGCAGCGACGCCGCGUGGGGGAUGAGGGCUUUCGGGUUGUAAACCUCUUUCGCUAUGGAGCGGGUAGGUAGAGAAGAAGCGCCGGCUAACUACGUGCCAGCAGCCGCGGUAAUUC
rnacentral:rRNA from 1 species